rnacentral:miRNA from 1 species
GACCGAAUGCUGCGUUGUGAUAG